CUGUAUGUUAUUGCUCUUUAUCUGAAUAAUCCAUUGUUUCAUCUCCAUCAAUGUAUGCUCUCCAGAUUCUUGCUUCUUGGGAACGUCAGCGACAUCCAUGGAUCCAUCAAAGUCCACCCGUGGUAGACAUCCGCUUGCAGACAUCACCAACACAACACCUCAAGCUAACCAAGCACCACGUGGAUGGCGGCCAGAUGAUGUCGAUCCUAAUGCUCGUAAGAGGCUGAGAGAUAGAGAACGGUCUGCAACAAUGUCUGAUGAAAAAAGAAUGGAAAGGAACAAAAAGCGUCGUGAACGCUAUAUGAUUAAUAAAGUUGUAGACAAAGAUAAUUCGCACCUAGCUAUGCAGUUGGAGGUUGUAGGUGGCGGUAUAUCCAUGGUGAAAGAU